rnacentral:pre_miRNA from 1 species
UAAACUCAAUUUUGUAUGGAAUUGGAACGUUUGCCUACGUUUGCCGCUAGGGGCGCUGUUCCAACUGCAUACAAAUUUGAGUUA